rnacentral:rRNA from 1 species
CGGGACGGGUGAGUAAUGCUUGGGAAUCUAGCUUAUGAGGGGGAGUAACUACGGGAAACUGUAGCUAAUACCGCGUAAUAUCGAAAGAUUAAAGUGUGGGACCUUCGGGCCACAUGCCAUAGGAUGAGCCCAAGUGGGAUUAGGUAGUUGGUGAGGUAAAGGCUCACCAAGCCGACGAUCUCUAGCUGGUCUGAGAGGAUGACCAGCCACAUUGGGACUGAGACACGGCCCAG